UACGUAGGGUGCGAGCGAUGUCCGGAAUUAUUGGGCGUAAAGGGCUCGUAGGCGGUUUGUCGCGUCGGGAGUGAAAAUCCAGGGCUUAACUCUGGACUGGCUUCCGAUACGGGCAGACUAGAGGUAUGCAGGGGAGAACGGAAUUCCUGGUGUAGCGGUGAAAUGCGCAGAUAUCAGGAGGAACACCGGUGGCGAAGGCGGUUCUCUGGGCCUGUACUGACGCUGAGGAGCGAAAGCGUGGGGAGCGAACAGG
rnacentral:rRNA from 1 species